rnacentral:rRNA from 1 species
AUGGGAUGGAUCCGGCGGGUGGAGUCGCGCGGGCACCGGCUCGUCGAGGCGCGCGACCAUGCGGCGGGGGGAGGGGAGAGGGCCGAGCUGCUGGUGGGGGUGGAGAGGGCCGGUGAGGCCACCCCAAGAUUUGCCGCGGCAUGGGAUCCGGCGGUCAGCGGGCGGAGUUGCGCGGGCGCCGGGUCGUCGAGGCACGCGGCGGGGAAGGGGAGAGGGCGAGAGGAAAUGAACGCCAGCGUGCCAGGUGGGCCGUCGAGCCGGCCCGUUAGGCAACUUUAUAGUGCAUGGGCCGUGGAGGCCACCACGCGUUCCUGGUCGAAUAUAGGAGACAUGGAUAUGGACUUUGGAGAUGCACGGAAAGAAUCCAUUGAGGGUUCAUAUGCGAUGUUGCUGCAAGGGGACAAAAAUUCACAACAUAAAAAUGUCGAAGAGGGAUAUACAGUCAUCGAAUCAAUCAAGUCUGCCCCCAAGAAUACCCAGUUCGUGGACAUUGGAGAUGCCUUGUUAUCAACCGACGAUUUGGAAUGCCUUAUGAAAGAUGAUAUGUUUUUACAUCACGGUGUGAUAAAUGCUUACAUAUAUUGCAUGCUUGCUCACGACCAUCUACAAGACAGAGCGGGUGAAAAGUUAUUCAUUCCAAUUAACAUACCGGGCUACCAUUGGUAUCUAGCAGUCUUCAAUGCCAAAAAACGUGAGAUUCAACGUAUCAUGUGGACUGUUUAUGCUAAAUUAUAUGGAAUACUGAACAUCACAUGCACUGUCAGACCAAUUCACCCAGAGCUGAAUAAGCUAAAAGGAGGUCACAUAUACCAUCAACCUGACGAUCAAGAAACUUUAGCUAAUUCUGAUCUCAAUAUAUUGGACAAUCCAUCUGACGUAGUCAAAGACAAACGUCCUACACCAAUCACUAUCAUACCCACGGACCAACGUGAAUUACUUGCCGGCCUCUGCAACUACAUCAUGUCGAUCGAUGAUGCCGGUUGUUUGGAGAAGGUAUGGGUCCGGAGCUCGACACCCGAUCUAAUGGGCUUAAGUCUUAAGAAACUUCAGUGCAUACUUAACAUAGAGCAGCCCAUGGACAAUGAUUGCUUCAACACAGCCGUGCGUAUGCUGGCAUGUGACGAGGGAGUAUUGUUCACAUACCCUCCUGUGCACUACAUGGAUCUACGAUUUUGUUCCAUGAUGCUAGAGUCAACACGAGGUCAGAAGUUUUGCGAGAAGGAAACUAUCCAGACGUUGGCAACAUUAUUUGAUAGCUGGCCUGAGAUGGACAACGACAUCUCAUCAUGCAACAAGCUCCACUUGUAG